UACGUAGGGUGCAAGCGUUGUCCGGAAUUAUUGGGCGUAAAGAGCUCGUAGGCGGUCUGUCGCGUCGGCUGUGAAAACCCAGGGCUCAACCCUGGGCCUGCAGUCGAUACGGGCAGACUGGAGUACUGCAGGGGAGACUGGAAUUCCUGGUGUAGCGGUGGAAUGCGCAGAUAUCAGGAGGAACACCGGUGGCGAAGGCGGGUCUCUGGGCAGUAACUGACGCUGAGGAGCGAAAGCGUGGGGAGCGAACAGG
rnacentral:rRNA from 1 species